GUGCUCAAUUAAGUAUAUUUUCUUUUUAAAUUUUGAGAAACGAACGAAUCUUUUGGCUUAAAUGGGACUGCCUUUGACUUUAAAAAAGUAAAACCGUGGAUAUAAUAUUAUGUAGAGAUAAAUAUGAGUCGAUCAAUACCUGAAUCCAAACAAUAAUCUAAUCGAAUUGAUUAACUUUAACAAAUCUCCUCCAGUAAACGUUGACAAGCCUAUUGUAAGUACAAAAAUGUGGGAAUCUUUGCGCUUGCUUUGAUACGACUGACCAAGAAAGCCGUCAAACUAUGAAUAAAUAUGAGCUUCUCGAGGAGCUGGAUUGAAAAAAAUCAAAAUUUUAAAUUAUAUGCUUCUUAGAACCUAUAUUGUCGAAAAAAAUUGGCUACUAAUGAAAAUAUACAUAUAUGUACGUGGUGGUAGAUGAAGAGUUGACAGAACUGCUACAAAAAUAUGAUUUAAGAAAAUAUCUAAACUAUGCACCAGACAUAGACAAAUUUAAGUUUUACAUAUAUCUUAUUAAGUGAAAGACAAAGAUUACUGUAGAAUUCAAUUGCUUGACAAAAACUGAGAAAUAAUAGUUCCGUGUAAACUCCUGAAAUCCCUACAGCUUACUACUGACAAAGGAAACAAAGACUUGCUUCGAAACGAUUUAUUUUUCGUUUAACUUUUACAACAUAUGGGACUUUUUUAUUAUAAUUUUUGGAAGGAACAAAUUUCUCUCAUUGAGCCAGUCACGGCUAAUUUUGUCACACCGCAGUUAAUUUAUGAGUGAAAGAUCUUCAUAUCAUUUCAUUUUUCUUUUUUCUUUUCUUCUAGAGCAAAAAGUAAGUUCUUUAUUAUAGUGAAACUAGACACUAAGUUUUUGUAUAUAUUGUUGGCCGUUAAAAUUAAGCUUAUUUUUAGCGAGAUGGAUGGAAUAUUAUAAAGAAAAUAUAAUUUACAAUUAGGAUAUAAAUAGUCGUGGGUAAUAGCGAUAAUCGUCUUCUGUUGUUUUCUUGAA